UCAGGCCUAACACAUGCAAGUCGAACGAACCCUUCGGGGUUAGUGGCGCACGGGUGCGUAACGCGUGGGGAUCUGCCCUUUGCUUCGGAAUAACAGUUAGAAAUGACUGCUAAUACCGGAUGAUGUCGAAAGACCAAAGAUUUAUCGGCAAAGGAUGAACCCGCGUAGGAUUAGCUAGUUGGUGGGGUAAAGGCCUACCAAGGCGACGAUCCUUAGCUGGUCUGAGAGGAUGAUCAGCCACACUGGGACUGAGACACGGCCCAGACUCCUACGGGAGGCAGCAGUGGGGAAUAUUGGACAAUGGGCGAAAGCCUGAUCCAGCAAUGCCGCGUGAUAAAGGAGGCCUUAGGGUUGUAAAGCUCUUUACCAGGGA
rnacentral:rRNA from 1 species